CCUACGGGAGGCAGCAGUGAGGAAUAUUGGUCAAUGGACGAGAGUCUGAACCAGCCAAGUAGCGUGAAGGAUGACUGCCCUAUGGGUUGUAAACUUCUUUUAUAUGGGAAUAAAAUGUUCCACGUGUGGGAUUUUGUAUGUACCAUAUGAAUAAUGAUCGGCUAACUCCGUGCCAGCAGCCGCGGUAAUACGGAGGAUCCGAGCGUUAUCCGGAUUUAUUGGGUUUAAAGUGAGCGUAGGUGGAUUGUUAAGUCAGCGGUAAAAUGUCGGUGCUCAACACCGGCCUGCCGUUGAAACUGGUCUUCUGGAGUGAGCGAGAAGUAUGCGGAAGGCGUGGUGUAGCGGUGAAAGGCAUAGAUAUCACGAAGAACUCCGAUUGCGAAGGCAGCAUACCGGCGCUCAACUGACGCUGAGGCACGAAAGCGUGGGGAUCGAACAGGAUUAGAUACCCCUGUAGUC
rnacentral:rRNA from 1 species